rnacentral:rRNA from 1 species
CCAGACUCCUACGGGAGGCAGCAGUGGGGAAUAUUGCACAAUGGGCGCAAGCCUGAUGCAGCCAUGCCGCGUGUGUGAAGAAGGCCUUCGGGUUGUAAAGCACUUUCAGUCAGGAGGAAAGGUUAGUAGUUAAUACCUGCUAGCUGUGACGUUACUGACAGAAGAAGCACCGGCUAACUCCGUGCCAGCAGCCGCGGUAAUACGGAGGGUGCGAGCGUUAAUCGGAAUUACUGGGCGUAAAGCGUACGCAGGCGGUUUGUUAAGCGAGAUGUGAAAGCCCCGGGCUCAACCUGGGAACUGCAUUUCGAACUGGCAAACUAGAGUGUGAUAGAGGGUGGUAGAAUUUCAGGUGUAGCGGUGAAAUGCGUAGAGAUCUGAAGGAAUACCGAUGGCGAAGGCAGCCACCUGGGUCAACACUGACGCUCAUGUACGAAAGCGUGGGGAGCAAACAGGAUUAGAUACCCUGGUAGUCCACGCCGUAAACGAUGUCUACUAGAAGCUCGGAACCUCGGUUCUGUUUUUCAAAGCUAACGCAUUAAGUAGACCGCCUGGGGAGUACGGCCGCAAGGUUAAAACUCAAAUGAAUUGACGGGGGCCCGCACAAGCGGUGGAGCAUGUGGUUUAAUUCGAUGCAACGCGAAGAACCUUACCUACACUUGACAUACAGAGAACUUACCAGAGAUGGUUUGGUGCCUUCGGGA